CAGUCGCCGCGGUAAUACGAAGGGGGCUAGCGUUGUUCGGAUUUACUGGGCGUAAAGCGCACGUAGGCGGAUCGAUCAGUCAGGGGUGAGAUCCCAGAGCUCAACUCUGGAACUGCCUUUGAUACUGUCGAUCUGGAGUAUGGAAGAGGUGAGUGGAAUUCCGAGUGUAGAGGUGAAAUUCGUAGAUAUUCGGAGGAACACCAGUGGCGAAGGCGGCUCACUGGUCCAUUACUGACGCUGAGGUGCGAAAGCGUGGGGAGCAAACAGGAUUAGAUACCCGCGUAGUCCCUGUCUCUUAUAC
rnacentral:rRNA from 1 species